UAUCGCCCAUGUUACAGACGUACUUGUAAGAAAAUAAUUCUUUAGAGUAUGUAUGUAGGCAGAAUAUGAACAGUUGCCAUAACAGUUUCGUUUUCGCAUCUGGAUAGCUAUGCUUAUUCUUCACUCACUGAUUGACGUCAACGGACGAAAAUGGCGCACACCAUUCGUUCUCGAUUGCAUGUCUACUACGUAGUACAUUCGUAUUAGUGGUUCUUAUAUAGUUCCUAGUAUAGUGAGACAGUAAGUUGUGUAUUUGUCUAUUGUGUUUUAAAGCAAUAGGUACUUUGAGUUGCAAGAGUUUACGUAUUAUAUAAUGUGUUGUUAUUAUACAUUGCAGUGUCAUUGAAAUUGCGUAGGUAUAUUAGAAACCGGGAUGUGGGUCUAAUAUUGCUUGCAAGAUUACAGACAUAAACCGGGACAAGUAAAACUAAAUGAAAGCUUAUAAUAAACUCCAGUAUGUCUCUAGAUUACCGUUUUGGACGUCCCCGUCUUGAUUAUUACUACCCCCUUAUACCGACCUAUCAGUGGCAACAAUCAACUCAAAGCUAAAAAAAAACGGAGAUGAACUCGUACAUGUAAAAAAACGUGAAAAAUAUACAAAGCACAUUUGCACCAAUGCAUGGAAUUGAUAACAAAAAUAUUGCCUAAAGGUCAUAUUACAGAUAACGCGAAACUCAUGACUGGUCAUAACUAAUGACUGGUAAAUACGCUGAUCGUUCCUACUUGUCGACCCAGACAUUUAUCGUUUCAAUAUAUAGGUAUUUAAUUAACAAAUUACUUAGUGUUUAAGGAAAAGCUAAGGAAGCUGCGGUUAUUGCCCUGUUUGUGGCUAAUUGCUGAAAUAUACCUUUCGUGACAUUACCAUGUUUACAUUGAUCCAAUAUACCUAUCAGAAAUCUAAACAAAAUAUUGAACACAAUAAACUACCAAAUUAAGAAAGUCACAGUACAGUAUUAUACCUACAGCGAAAGUGAAAAAGAAGUGAAAAAGUUUGGAAAAAAAGACUAUAAACGAAAAAGCAAUGUUUCUAAAUAUAACCGAAAACUGGAAAGCAACAAGCGAACAUGAUGUGAAUGUGUCACUAAUAUACAGUCCAUUAGACGAAGUGUUGUCCUCAGUACAUCAAACACUGUUCAUUGUGAACAUGCUCCUGUGCACCAUCAGUCUUACUUUUGGAGGAAUUUCAUGGAUUCUAAUAUCAAAAUCGAGGCUGUUCCAGAACUAUGUGUAUUCUAACGGACCUCAUACAAUUUUUUGACGCAAACGAAUCAAAAUAUACAAAACCAAAAUGGCUCCUACUGUGCAGUCUUAUAGUUAUCCCGACCCUCCAGUCUUCUCAGCAUAUAUGCGUCCACUGCUGAACAUAUGCCUCUUUCAUGGAUUUCCAUGUUGUUCUGCAUGCGGCGGUUCUAUGCGGUGUCUUUCUGAAAUCGUCCGACCAUCUGGCUCGUGGUUUUCUGUCACCUCGGCUUCCCAGUCGAGGUCUCCAGAACAGUACUCGCUGGCCCCAUCGCUCAUCAUACCUGCGACAUAUAUGGCCGGCCCAUUCCCACUUCAGCUGCGCCAUUCUUUUGGCGAUGUCGGUAACUUUUGUGCGGUGGCGACCCUCCAGUGCACACGUCGUACUCAGGCGUCCAAGAUUAAAGAACAUUUAUUUUAUUAUUCAGGAUCACCAACAGUGAGCUAUUUUAAUUUAUUUGCCCGAUAAAUAACAGGUGAACAAAGCAUGUGUUAAGACAAAGCCUUUACGACAGAGUUAUACGCCUGUGGUUCGCCAAAAGCGGCACAAAAAACCUACUGACGCGCCUACUGAAUAAUUCUACCUUAAUUGUAUGUAUCAUCAAAUGGGCGUUGUGGAAUAAGGAGUAUGCUUAAUCUUAAAUGUAUGUUAGAACAACGUCUUGCAGCGAAUAAAAGUCAGUGCGUAACUAU